GGAAGCGUGCCUGAAAGAUAAGGACCUCCUUGAUAGGGAGGACUAUAGGGGUUCAAACC
rnacentral:tRNA from 1 species